AUCAAAUGCUACUCGCAGAAGAGCGCAACUCUGUCUCCGUCAGGCGGAGCAACACAUAAAUCACGUGACUCAUGACUUCUGGCGCAUCCGUCACGGACAGGAAGACGUCUCCAUGUGGCGUGUCUGUUUCUCUGUAUGUGUGUCUCUCAGUGGACUAAGUGCAAUAAAUCUGCCUGAGCGCUCGUAGUGGAAAGGUGAAGUCUCAGAGCCGGAGAAGCUCCGGGCGUUUCUUGCUCUCGAACAAUGUGGAGAUCAAAGAGUUCAUCUCUGACAGCUGAUGACUGGCUUCCCAUGGACGGUUCACCAAAGGAGGCUCACACCUGCAGCAGGUGAUUACAGGUAGAUCUGCCUGCCUCUAAUUGGACAAUAAACACCACUCUCCGCCUGCUAAUGGCUGCAGUCUGCCUCUCAGACGCCACUCUGCUAUUUGGCCGUUGCCAGAAGUCUCCUCCGCAUGGCCACCAUGAUGACACGCUGCAGGAGCAUUCGAAGCAAAGUGCAGGAUAACUUGCCAUCUCAGCCUUUAAGACGAGCCAGAGAGAAAGAGAGCAUGAGUGAAGUCAUGAUCAUUCAUUAUCUUCCUCUCUUGUGUGUGUAGCUUGAAUGCAUCCUGAAGCAGUUGUGUUAGUUUUGUUAAUAGUCUUCCAGCUGUAAUGCUGUUCUUUUCACAUGUUUGUAAGUGUGUUGAACAUUCUUGAAGUGACUAACACACACCACAACUUUCCUGUGACGCUCAUGCUGGAUCUUGACGUAAGUCCAUCUGCAGACCGUAGCAGACAUGACCAUGCAGAAACUCUGACCUGUAGACCGGGUCACGGCACCACCGGACGACAGAUUGUGGAGGAGCUCAAGAGGACAGCAGCAGACGUGAGGAGCGAGGAGCAGCCAUCCCUGAGGUGUGUCUGUACGAGAAGCCUCCAUCUGAGCCGCAGGCACCUGGCCAGAUAUCAGCAGCCUGCACCCCGGUCAAGCCACUGUCCCACACCACGGAGAACUUCAAUUACAGUGGGAUUCUCAGAGCGGAGAGCGAGGGGCUUGCAUUGAUUGAGGAGGGCAACAAUUGAUUUUGUCCAUUACGUGGUGAGAAUGUUUCCAUCCUGCGCAGAUCAGGCUGCCCUCCUCCUGUGGGUGGAGAUAAGAGGCCGCUGCAUUGUGGCUGCCUAAUCUGUGUGACGGCGCUUGUCUGUGCUGAAAUUGAUGUGGCUUUUCAUGCGGCCGCGUGUGGGUCUGCGUCGGUGGUGGGGGUCUGUUCCUCCGCACCCCGUCUCAGAUCCACUCGGAGCCCUGAGUGCUGCUCACAUCAGCAAACAUGAGGGGAUUUGCAUCGAUACAGAUAUCUGCCUUGCAUUUGUUCCACAGGAUGUUUCUAAAGAGCAUAAAGGCAUUUGUAAUGAUGUCUGUGACUUGUUGAAUUCUUGAGCCUUUAUUGUCCUUACAGUGGGAUGCGGGUCAGAAGAGGGUCAGAAGUAUUAAUACAAAGGAUUAAAACCAUGUUAAUCUGUAAAUAGGAGAGUUUUGCAAGGAAUUUUUAUUGAGUUCUUUAACCAUAAUGCAUUCAAAUGCUGCCACACAAAUGCGCAAUCAACAAUACCCUUGAAAAACAUUAUUAAAUAAAAAUGUAGCUUUCUUAAAUAAUAUGUUUUGC
ensembl:lncRNA